GGUUAAGCGAAUAAGCGUACACGGUGGAUGCCUAGGCAAUCAGAGGCGAUGAAGGACGUGCUAAUCUGCGAUAAGCGUCGGUAAGGUGAUAUGAACCGUUAUACCCGACGAUUUCCGAAUGGGGAAACCCAAUAUCCAAUGGAUAUUAUCAUGACGUGAAUACAUAGCGUCAUGAAGCGAACCGGGAGAACUGAAACAUCUCAGUACCCCGAGGAAAAGAAAUCAACCGAGAUUCCCCUAGUAGCGGCGAGCGAACGGGGAACAGCCCAGAGUCUUAAUCAAUAGCAGCAUCAGGAGAACGGUCUGGAAAGUCCGGCAGUAAAGGGUGAUAGCCCCGUAUCCGAAGAUGCUGUUAUUGUGAACUCGACGAGUAGGGCGGGACACGUGUUAUCCUGUCUGAAUAUGGGGGGACCAUCCUCCAAGGCUAAAUACUCCUGAUUGACCGAUAGUGAACCAGUACCGUGAGGGAAAGGCGAAAAGAACCCCGGCGAGGGGAGUGAAAAAGAACCUGAAACCGUGUACGUACAAGCAGUAGGAGCCUCUUUAUGGGGUGACUGCGUACCUUUUGUAUAAUGGGUCAGCGACUUAUAUUCUGUAGCAAGGUUAACCGUAUAGGGGAGCCGUAGGGAAACCGAGUCUUAACUGGGCGAAUGAGUUGCAGGGUAUAGACCCGAAACCCGGUGAUCUAUCCAUGGGCAGGUUGAAGGUUGGGUAACACUAACUGGAGGACCGAACCGACUAAUGUUGAAAAAUUAGCGGAUGACUUGUGGAUGGGGGUGAAAGGCCAAUCAAACCGGGAGAUAGCUGGUUCUCCCCGAAAGCUAUUUAGGUAGCGCCUCGUGAACUCAUCUUCGGGGGUAGAGCACUGUUUCGACUAGGGGGUCAUCCCGACUUACCAACUCGAUGCAAACUGCGAAUACCGAAGAAUGUUAUCACGGGAGACACACGGCGGGUGCUAACGUCCGUCGUGAAGAGGGAAACAACCCAGACCGCCAGCUAAGGUCCCAAAGUCAUGGUUAAGUGGGAAACGAAGUGGGAAGGCUCAGACAGCCAGGAUGUUGGCUUAGAAGCAGCCAUCAUUUAAAGAAAGCGUAAUAGCUCACUGGUCGAGUCGGCCCGCGCGGAAGAUGUAACGGGGCUAAACCAUGCACCGAAGCUGCGGCAGCGACACUUAGGUGUUGUUGGGUAGGGGAGCGUUCUGUAAGCCUGCGAAGGUGUACUGUGAGGUAUGCUGGAGGUAUCAGAAGUGCGAAUGCUGACAUAAGUAACGAUAAUGCGGGUGAAAAACCCGCACGCCGGAAGACCAAGGGUUCCUGUCCAACGUUAAUCGGGGCAGGGUGAGUCGACCCCUAAGGCGAGGCUGAAAAGCGUAGUCGAUGGGAAACGGGUUAAUAUUCCCGUACUGGUGGUAACUGCGAUGGGGGAACGGAGAAGGCUAGGUUGUCCGGGCGACGGUCGUCCCGGUUCAAGCAUGUAGGCAGAGUGAUUAGGCAAAUCCGGUCACUUAAUGCUGAGGUGUGAUGACGA
rnacentral:rRNA from 1 species